rnacentral:tRNA from 1 species
UGUGGCUUAGUGGUAGAGUGCUUGCCUAGCAUGUGUGAGGCAGUGGGUUCCAUUCCCACCA